UACGAAGGGGGCAAGCGUUGUUCGGAUUUACUGGGCGUAAAGCGUACGUAGGCGGAUCAUUAAGUCAGGGGUGAAAUCCCGAGGCUCAACCUCGGAACUGCCUUUGAUACUGGUGAUCUUGAGUCCGGGAGAGGUGAGUGGAACUCCUAGUGUAGAGGUGAAAUUCGUAGAUAUUAGGAAGAACACCAGUGGCGAAGGCGGCUCACUGGCCCGGAACUGACGCUGAGGUACGAAAGCGUGGGGAGCAAACAGG
rnacentral:rRNA from 2 species